rnacentral:rRNA from 1 species
UACGUAGGGGGCAAGCGUUGUCCGGAAUCAUUGGGCGUAAAGCGCGUGUAGGCGGUUCGAUAAGUCUGCUGUGAAAGUCCAGGGCUCAACCCUGGGAUGCCGGUGGAUACUGUCGGGCUAGAGUACGGAAGAGGCGAGUGGAAUUCCCGGUGUAGCGGUGAAAUGCGCAGAUAUCGGGAGGAACACCAAUUGCGAAGGCAGCUCGCUGGGACGUUACUGACGCUGAGACACGAAAGCCAGGGGAGCAAACGGG